rnacentral:rRNA from 1 species
GACGAACGCUGGCGGCGUGCCUAAUACAUGCAAGUAGAACGCUGAAGGAGGAGCUUGCUCUUCUGGAUGAGUUGCGAACGGGUGAGUAACGCGUAGGUAACCUGCCUGGUAGCGGGGGAUAACUAUUGGAAACGAUAGCUAAUACCGCAUAACAGUAGAUGUUGCAUGACAUUUACUUAAAAGGUGCAAUUGCAUCACUACCAGAUGGACCUGCGUUGUAUUAGCUAGUUGGUGGGGUAACGGCUCACCAAGGCGACGAUACAUAGCCGACCUGAGAGGGUGAUCGGCCACACUGGAACUGAGACACGGCCCAGACUCCUACGGGAGGCAGCAGUAGGGAAUCUUCGGCAAUGGACGGAAGUCUGACCGAGCAACGCCGCGUGAGUGAAGAAGGUCUUCGGAUCGUAAAGCUCUGUUGUAAGAGAAGAACGAGUGUGAGAGUGGAAAGUUCACACUGUGACGGUAUCUUACCAGAAAGGGACGGCUAACUACGUG